CACGUAGGGGGCAAGCGUUGUCCGGAUUAUUGGGCGUAAAGAGCUCGUAGGCGGCUCAGUAAGUCAGGUGUGAAACCUCCAGGCUCAACCUGGAGACGCCACCUGAUACUGCUGUGGCUAGAGUCCGGUAGGGGAGCGUGGAAUUCCUGGUGUAGCGGUGAAAUGCGCAGAUAUCAGGAGGAACACCAGCGGCGAAGGCGGCGCUCUGGGCCGAACUGACGCUGAGGAGCGAAAGCGUGGGUAGCAAACAGG
rnacentral:rRNA from 1 species